rnacentral:rRNA from 1 species
UACGUAGGGUGCGAGCGUUGUCCGGAAUUAUUGGGCGUAAAGAGCUCGUAGGCGGUGUGUCGCGUCGGCCGUGAAAACCUGGGGCUCAACUCUGGGCGUGCGGUCGAUACGGGCAUCACUUGAGUUCGGCAGGGGAGACUGGAAUUCCUGGUGUAGCGGUGAAAUGCGCAGAUAUCUGGAGGAACACCGGUGGCGAAGGCGGCAUCCUGGACCGACACUGACGCUGAGGAGCGAAAGCCAGGGGAGCAAACGGG